rnacentral:rRNA from 1 species
AUUGAACGCUGGCGGCAUGCCUUACACAUGCAAGUCGAACGGUAACAGGUCUUCGGAUGCUGACGAGUGGCGAACGGGUGAGUAAUACAUCGGAACGUGCCUAGUAGUGGGGGAUAACUACUCGAAAGAGGGGCUAAUACCGCAUGAGAUCUACGGAUGAAAGAAGGGGAUCGAAAGACCUUUGGCUACUAAAGAGGACGAUGGCAGAUUAGGUAGUUGGUGGGAUAAAAGCUUACCAAGCCGACGAUCUGUAGCUGGUCUGAGAGGACGAUCAGCCACACUGGAACUGAGACACGGCCCAGACUCCUACGGGAGGCAGCAGCGGGGAAUUUUGGACAAUGGGCGAAAGCCUGAUCCAGCAAUGCCGCGUGCAGGAUGAAGGCCUUCGGGUUGUAAACUGCUUUUGUACGGAACGAAAAGCCCUGGGUUAAUACCCUGGGGUCAUGACGGUACCGUAAGAAUAAGCACCGGCUAACUACGUGCCAGCAGCCGCCGUAAGAC